CCGUGAUCAGCUAAUGAGUUGGAAGUGUCCGCGUUUGCUAGUAAUUAUUUCAAUUGUUCGGAACAAUUAGGCAGAAAGUGUGCGUAAAGAUUUUGUGUGCGAGAGUAGGCGAAGAAAACCUUGUGAAAAUUGGCUUGAUUUUCCCGCCCGCAGAUUCUUUUCGCACCCAAGCGCGACGCUUAUCCCCAACGGACUGAAAAUCCCCGACAACCGUCAAUUGGUCGGAAGCGGACCGAUCCGUCAACAUAUUAGUCCGAGGGAAGGCCAGGGGACCUCCACGUGGACGAAAUCCACCAGCCAGUCCGUCAAACCGCCGGCAAGCAACCGCCAUCGUGCAGCGCUUCAUUAAGAAACAAUCACCGGACGCCAACAAGCCGGGAGCGUCGACCCCAACGGCAGGUCAUCGACUGGGUCAGUAAGCCCAAACAAACCGGUGAG